rnacentral:rRNA from 1 species
GAUGAACGCUGGCGGCGUGCCUAAUACAUGCAAGUCGAGCGAACAGACGAGGAGCUUGCUCCUCUGACGUUAGCGGCGGACGGGUGAGUAACACGUGGAUAACCUACCUAUAAGACUGGGAUAACUUCGGGAAACCGGAGCUAAUACCGGAUAAUAUAUUGAACCGCAUGGUUCAAUAGUGAAAGACGGUUUUGCUGUCACUUAUAGAUGGAUCCGCGCCGCAUUAGCUAGUUGGUAAGGUAACGGCUUACCAAGGCAACGAUGCGUAGCCGACCUGAGAGGGUGAUCGGCCACACUGGAACUGAGACACGGUCCAGACUCCUACGGGAGGCAGCAGUAGCGAAUCUUCCGCAAUGGGCGAAAGCCUGACGGAGCAACGCAGCGUGAGUGAUGAAGGUCUUCGGAUCGUAAAACUCUGUUAUUAGGGAAGACCAAAUGUGUAAGUAACUAUGCACGUCUUGACGGUACCUAAUCAGAAAGCCACGGCUAACUACGUG